CCCUUAGAUGUCCUGGGCUGCACGCGCGCUACACUGAUGUGUCCAGUAAGCACCUAACCUCUUCCGAAAGGAACGGGUAACCUUUGCAAAGCACAUCGUGAUGGGGAUAGAUUAUUGCAAUUAUUAGUCUUGAACGAGGAAUUCCUAGUAAGCACAAGUCAUCAGCUUGUGUUGAUUACGUCCCUGCCCUUUGUACACACCGCCCGUCGCCCCUACCGAUUGAAUGUUCCGGUGAGCUCUUCGGACUGCGCGGUCUGCAGUUUCUGCGUUCCGUGCGGAAAGUUGUGCAAACCUUAACAUUUAGAGGAAGGAGAAGUCGUAACA
rnacentral:rRNA from 1 species